AGCCACUUAAUGAUGACUGAGCCACCCAGGUGCCCCUGAAGUGGGAGCUAUCUUAAGCGGGGAGAUCACGCUAGAAAUGUUGGGAAAAGGUGACCUAGAGAAAUAGGGAGGUAAAUAGCGAUGCAGGCUGACAUCCCCAGUUGGUAAUGGAAAGGUUCACCUGGCUUCCAAUCCUAGCUCUGCCAUUCCCUUGCUUGUCAAAUGGGUGUUUAAACUGUUGGGGUGGCUCAUUAUCUCAUCUGUAAAAUGGGGGCAAUAUGAUUUACCUUGUAAGCUCUUUUGAGGAUUGAAAAGUUCACUGUAAGUAAUGCAGGGUGCUUCUAUGAUGUUAAGCAAUAAGAGUUUUUAAAAGAACCGGGCAUCAGGUGAGCUCCUUGUUUUUCCAACAAUGGAGGGCUACACACACACACACACACACACACACACAUACCCCUACACCCAGUCUGCCUAGAAAAACAGAAGUGGUAUCAGCUAUUGCCCUCUGGGGAAGUGUAACUCUGAAACCUCAUCCUCACUGUAAUAAAAUAGUUUCCAAAGGGAGCAGACAGAGUAACCUAGGGCCAUGCCCUCCCACUUCCCUCUUGCCUGAGCGGAGUUCAGAGCCCAUCUUGGGGAAGUGGGUGGUGAACUAGUUUGGCAUGGGUGGCCGGAACUGAAACAUUUCUUUUACCACCCUCCUAUUCUGCUGCCCCUUUCUUUUCUGGGGAGAGGGGGUGGGGGGGGAUAGGGGAGAAAGAGCUCAUGCCUCUACUGUACACACACAUACUUGGAUCUGUUCUCUGUAGCCUCCAGACCCAACCUCCUCAUUCACCAGGAUUCAUUGGAUCCCUUUUGAGCUCAGUGUGCUCUGCUGAAUGAUGCACCCAGGACCCACCUGGGAGCCCACAGGAAGUUUGUCCCGAUAUUUAAAAUCUUCCUCCAGCUCAUGAAAACCAAAGCCUAACCUGCCCUUCAUUCCCACCCACAGACCACCCCAGGGCCUGGCCAGAAAGAGUCCCUUUGCUUUGAGUACUAAGAAACUUUGAUUUAAACAUUUAAUACUAAUGAGCCCCUAUGACCCCUCUUUACAGAACUCCAGGCUCCCUUCCAAUACUUAUUCCCUCACUCUUGAACAUGUAUUUGCUUCUAGGAGAAGAAUUUAGACUGGUUUCCUCGGAUGCGAGCCAUGUCCCUCGUUAGCAAUGAAGGUGAUGGUGAGCAAAAUGAGAUUCGGAACCUGCAGGAGAAGUUGGAAUCCACCAUGAGCUUGGUCAAACAGCUGUCGGCACAGCUGGCAGAGCUCAAAGAGCAGAUGACAGAACAAAGGAAGAAUAAGCAGAGACUGGGCUUUCUCGGAUCAAACACACCCCAUGUGAACCAUCACAUGCCAUCACACUGAGACCAUGGUGGGGGAAGCCGUGACUAGCCUUUCAUCAGUGUCCUGCCUGAUCACUGAAUAAAGAACUGAGACGGAGGGGAGUGAACAGUGCCUAUUGUUGAAAGUUAAAAACAACCAAGUGCCAAGAUGUUGAGUGGUUUAGCUCUGAGAACAAUUUAUAACUGUGUUUUCAUGGUUGAGAAGACCAAACUUAAAAGCUAGAAAGCACACAUCACGCAUUCUUAAUGUAACGUGAAGUAGCUUGCUUGGAAAUGGGAGGAGGGGUAGGGGGAGGCAGGGUGCGCGGGGGCGCGGCUGGGACAGACGACCUUUGGCUAAAUCAGUAAGAGUCAGUUUUGUCUUAAAUGCUGACGGUGACCUUCGUCGCGGUCGGUUGGGAUUUAUUUCUCUUAAUUAUGGCAAAUAGGUUAGCGAUACAGGAAUUCAUACGGGGGCUAAGUUUUCCUAAGGAAAAUAACAGUAGAGAUUAAAAAUGAGAGUUGCAAAGAAAAAUGUUAAUGCUUCCAAACUGUAGCUGUCACAGGGCAAUUUUCUUAUUUAUAACGUGCAACACAAUGGAUUUCCAGCUCUUUGGAGCUCAUGCCCCUCACACUGACAGCAUAACUGGAAUGUGAUUGCUUUCUCCCGGGUGCUGAGGGGCUCUGUCACUGCGGAGCACAAAAGGGGAUUUUCAGAUAACCUGUUCAAAACAUGUUUUAAGUCAUGUAGAGGGGAAGAUUUUAAAAGAUUUGGGGAAGAAAAAGCUGGCGGUAAGCCCCUGGGGAGAAUUUUUUUUUUUUUUUUGUGAACAUAUGUAUGCUAUUAAAAUGUAUUGAGAAUAAUAAAUGGAAAUGCUUAAAGGUAACAGGGAAUAUUGAGAAACUUAUGAUAGUCACAUUGCCUUUUAUAAAUAUGAAGUAAAAGCUAUUUGAUUCAUGUUUGCUGUGCUUAUGGAACUGAGUGGUUUUAUUUAUCCUAUCUGUGUAGUUAGGGGUGAAAAAAAUCCAAGAAAUUUAUUGAAUACUCAAGAAAAUGCGGCAUUUCAAUUGUGGAUUUUAAACUGUAUCGGUAAGAGCUUUUCAGAAUGUAGAGAGAUAAUCAUCUCUUCCUCAAAUUGUUUUUAUGUUAAAUUAUGCAACCAGGAUUUGUGGAGGGGGAAAAAAACCUGCCGUGCUCAUAAUAUUCAUAGACACUAAACAUUUAGGAUGUUAAAGCAAAAUAUGGGUAAUGGAAGAAUGGAUGCUUGGUAAGGGGACAAGGCCCCUGACCCCAAAGUCUGGGAGAUGCUUUGCAAAUUGACCUCUGGACCCUGUCUCCCAAGGAACGAUUACGUCCAGAGUCUUAAAACUCUCAAGUUAUUACUGGCAAAGUUUAAGGUCUGGGUAGGGUUUCUUAUGACCAUUUUUAAAGUUUUUUGGAUUGCUGUCAUUUAGUUUAAAACUAUUGGCUCUUAAAAUUCUUGAGUCAUGGUCUGAGUAGAUUAAAAAUGGAUUCCUGAACCAAUCCUUCCACAAUGUUGAAUUGUAGACUUGGAAUGAAUGUGUGGAAACCCAGAACAACAGUUACUUAACUGACUCUACUAGUACCUCCCACCCCUCUACUCCUGUACUUCCCCCACAUUAAGAAUUCUUUACUGUGACACCGUAGUAUUUUUCCUUACCAGUCGCAGAAGAGCCAUGAUCCCGAAAUACUAAGAAAUUGAGAUAUAUAUCUAACUGCAGCAUAAAACUUUGAACCUAAUAGGCAUUCAACAAACGUAUGAGAAAUUUCACUGUGGUUCAGUGACCCUUAAUUCUUUAUUAAAACUUUGAACGAUAUCACAUACUUGAUUUUUUUUAAAUGGCUUCAGCAAACCAAAGUCAACCAAGGCAGUCAUUGUUUUAAUCCAAGACCAUCGUUGUUAUAACAGUAUUAGAUUAAAGUAGAUUUUAAAGUAUUUUAAUUAAACAGAGAGUUUGCAGAUGGGGAGAAGAAGAGGAAAUUGUUAAAGACUGACCCUAUUCCAGGGUAGGAAACCAUCUCUGUUUUAACAUGAAACAAGAUAUUUUUGAUGUCUGAACAUUAAGAGAAGAGAUUAAUUUGUCCAGAGGAGAGCAGCCUGCUUUUCACUUGAUGGACUAUCUAUUCUUUCCUGGGACCAUGCUGGUUCUUUUUUAUAGCGAAUAAGCCAUUGGGUAUAUAACUGCUAUCAACAAAUGACCUAACCUCUCCACCCAUUGUCAGGCGCAGCUCACCAUUUUAUAGCAUAUUUUCUCGAAUGGGAAGUAUUACAACUGACCUGACUCUUACUUGUUCAAAACGGAAAUAUUUCUCAGUUGUGUUUUUCUUUCCUGCCUAGAUACUUAGAGAUUACAGAGCAAAAUAAAACAAAACAUAAAAGCAAACAAAAAAGGCACUCUCCAGGCUCUUAAGGUCAUGAUGUCACAAGAAGAUAAUGAUGGGGAAAUUUGACACUUGAUAUAAGUUCAUACUGGUUAUGUACAUGUUUGGUAAUGCAACUGGAAUAUUGGACCUAGGCAAGUGUUUGUUAACCUUUUUAUAUUUAUAUAGUGAUAUUAAAAUGAGUACAGUAAUCUUUGAUUUUGAUGUUAAGGGAAAUGUCUUACUCCUUAGUUAUUAAAAUGCAUCAGUUAUUAAAAGCA